UAGAACAUGGUCAGACCCAGUCAUGCCCGUCUCUUAGCCUUCAGUACCAUGGUAUGUGGGUCUGGUACAGAGGUGUUACAAAGCCAUCCAAAAUUUUCUUCCAUAGAGGAGGAAUAUUUCUAAGAAAAUGGGUCUGUUCAGUUACUUUCUUGCUGGUUCAUUCUUGCUUGACUACUGCAAACCACACCGGCGAAAGUGAGAGCCAGGACCACCCUGUGAAAUAGAAGCUCACUUGUGUCCUCUUUGGGAGUCCUUAUACCUGGACUUGUGCUGUCCCUGGUUACAAGGUUACAUCUUCCUUUCCAACUAUCUUCUGGUCUGGGGCAUUAUCAACAGUCAGGAUAAACUGUGGAGUAAUACUGUGAUAUUUCAUACUGGGAAAUCAUGAAGACAGUACUGGAGUGAUUUCCAUUUGUGACCCAAGACAAGAUUUACAUGCAUAUAACUCAAACAAAGAACAGCCUAUGAAGAACUCAACAGGAAGAUGUGCUCCUCAGGUCACACAGCUGCUCUUGAAAACACCAAGCAGUUUCAGUGAGAAGCUUGCCUUUGUCUGAAUUGUGCCAAGUGAGGCAUGUGUUCUUCGUCCAGCGCAGUUUUGUAAAAUUUAAUUACUAGAGAUGAUGGGCAAAUCUGAGCUAUUUAUAUAUUUUACCUGUGUAACUGUUGUACUGUUAAGUUCACUUAAUGCCAUCAGACACAAAGAACUUAUGAAAUGUAUAGCCUUCCCCAGAAAUUACAACACAGUGGGAAUUUUUAGUGUUAUUGUGUUAGGAUGCAUACAUCUAAAGGGACUUUUGACCUACUUCAGAACUAUAUA